GCACCCUUUGUAAGCACAUAUACUAGAGCUGGAACGACGCAGAGAUGAGCAAGACCCUGCCCGAGGAUGACAUGUGACUUCGGGAAGCAUUCUGUAGUUUU
ensembl:snRNA U6 U6 spliceosomal RNA